rnacentral:rRNA from 1 species
UACGUAGGGGGCUAGCGUUGUCCGGAUUUAUUGGGCGUAAAGAGCGUGUAGGCGGCCAGGUAGGUCUGCUGUGAAAACUCGAGGCUCAACCUCGAGACGUCGGCGGAAACCAUCUGGCUAGAGUCCGGAAGAGGAGAGUGGAAUUCCUGGUGUAGCGGUGAAAUGUGCAGAUAUCAGGAAGAACACCCGUGGCGAAGGCGGUUCUCUGGGACGGUACUGACGCUGAGGUGCGAAAGCGUGGGGAGCAAACAGG